UUAGGAAUAUUCGUCAAUGGGGGAAACCCUGAACGAGCAAUGCCGCGUGAGCGAUGAAGGCCUUAUGGUUGUAAAGCUCUUUUAUUUGGGAAGAACUGUAAAAAUAGGAAAUGAUUUUUAUUUGACGGUACCUUUUGAAUAAGCUCCGGCUAACUACGUGCCAGCAGCCGCGGUAAUACGUAGGGAGCAAGCGUUAUCCGGAUUCAUUGGGCGUAAAGAGUGCGUAGGCGGUUUAUUAAGUCUAAGAUUAAAGCCCGAAGCUUAACUUCGGUUCGUUUUAGAUACUGGUAGACUUGAGUAUGGUAGAGGCAAAUGGAAUUCCUAGUGUAGCGGUGAAAUGCGUAGAUAUUAGGAGGAACACCAGUGGCGAAGGCGGUUUGCUGGGCCAUUACUGACGCUGAGGCACGAAAGCGUGGGGAGCAAAUAG
rnacentral:rRNA from 1 species